AACACUCCCCCUUGAAUGUCCAUGAAGGAUAUUCUUUCUCUAAAAAAAACUCUAGUGAAGGAAAAGAGUACAUCAUCAUUUGUGUGUGAACUGCCUCAUUAAAAACCUUACCAGGAAAACCCAGUGGGACAAAACCACGGUGAAGGGAAAAAGAGUGCAGAACAUAUUUAUAUCUCCCCCUCAUAAAGACAAUUAUUAUACAUGAGAUGAAAAAUCAAAUAAUCUUCUGUACUAGCUGCUCCAAAGUUUUACUAAAAGUUGACUCUGUAGAAAAUUCU
rnacentral:lncRNA from 1 species